rnacentral:rRNA from 1 species
CGGCAUGCCUUACACAUGCAAGUCGAACGGCAGCACGGGAGCAAUCCUGGUGGCGAGUGGCGAACGGGUGAGUAAUAUAUCGGAACGUGCCCGGUCGUGGGGGAUAACGUAGCGAAAGCUACGCUAAUACCGCAUACGAUCUACGGAUGAAAGCGGGGGAUCGCAAGACCUCGCGCGAUUGGAGCGGCCGAUAUCAGAUUAGGUAGUUGGUGAGGUAAAGGCUCACCAAGCCGACGAUCUGUAGCUGGUCUGAGAGGACGACCAGCCACACUGGGACUGAGACACGGCCCAGACUCCUACGGGAGGCAGCAGUGGGGAAUUUUGGACAAUGGGCGCAAGCCUGAUCCAGCAAUGCCGCGUGCAGGAUGAAGGCCUUCGGGUUGUAAACUGCUUUUGUACGGAACGAAACGGUGAGCUCUAAUACAGUUUGCUAAUGACGGUACCGUAAGAAUAAGCACCGGCUAACUACGUG